GAGGCAGAGAUGCGUAGCUGAUGGGAAGCAGGUUAAUAUUCCUGCACCGUCGUAUGAUGCGAUGGGGGGACGGAUCGCGGAAGGUUGUCCAACUGUUGGAAUAGUUGGUUUUUGGCUCAUAGAAGGCGCUUAGGCAAAUCCGGGCGCGGAAUUCAAGGGGUUGAGACGAGUGAAUUUAUUCACGAAGCAAUCGGAAGUGGUUCCAAGAAAAGCCUCUAAGCUUCAGUCAUACGAGACCGUACCGCAAACCGACACAGGUGGGCGAGAUGAGUA
rnacentral:rRNA from 1 species